UACAGAGGGUGCAAGCGUUAAUCGGAAUUACUGGGCGUAAAGCGUGCGUAGACGGUUAUGUAAGUCGGGUGUGAAAGCCCGGGGCUCAACCCCGGAAUGUCUUUCGAAACUGCUGAGCUAGAGUGCAGAAGAGGCAACUGGAAUUCCCAGUGUAGCGGUGAAAUGCGUAGAUAUUGGGAAGAACACCUGAGGCGAAGGCGGCCCCCUGGACCGGAACUGACGCUGAGGCGCGAAAGCGUGGGUAGCAAACGGG
rnacentral:rRNA from 1 species